rnacentral:tRNA from 1 species
GAGAUUGUGGCUCAGUGGUAGAGCACUCACCUAGCAUGUGAGAGGCACAGGGUUCGAUUCUCAGCAUCACA